CCUACGGGGAGCUGCAGUGAGGAAUAUUGGUCAAUGGGCGGGAGCCUGAACCAGCCAAGUCGCGUGAGGGAAGACGGUCCUAUGGAUUGUAAACCUCUUUAGGCGGGGAGCAAUGCCGGGCACGCGUGCCCGGAGGGAGAGUACCCGCAGAAUAAGCAUCGGCUAACUCCGUGCCAGCAGCCGCGGUAAUACGGAGGAUGUGAGCGUUAUCCGGAUUUAUUGGGUUUAAAGGGUGCGUAGGCGGAUUUUUAAGUCAGCGGUAAAAUGUCCGGGCUCAACCCGGGCCGGCCGUUGAAACUGGGGAGCUUGAGUGGGCGAGAAGUAUGCGGAAUGCGUGGUGUAGCGGUGAAAUGCAUAGAUAUCACGCAGAACUCCGAUUGCGAAGGCAGCAUACCGGAGCCCGACUGACGCUGAGGCACGAAAGCGUGGGGAUCGAACAGGAUUAGAUACCCUUGUAGUC
rnacentral:rRNA from 1 species